UACGGAGGGGGCUAGCGUUGUUCGGAAUUACUGGGCGUAAAGCGCGCGUAGGCGGACCUGCAAGUCGGGGGUGAAAGCCCGAGGCUCAACCUCGGAACUGCCUUCGAUACUGCGGGUCUCGAGUCCGGGAGAGGUGAGUGGAAUUCCUAGUGUAGAGGUGAAAUUCGUAGAUAUUAGGAAGAACACCGGUGGCGAAGGCGGGUCUCUGGGCAAUUCCUGACGCUGAGGCGCGAAAGCGUGGGGAGCAAACGGG
rnacentral:rRNA from 1 species